rnacentral:rRNA from 1 species
UACGUAGGGGGCAAGCGUUAUCCGGAUUUACUGGGUGUAAAGGGAGCGUAGACGGCGUGCCAAGUCUGGUGUGAAAGGCCGGGACUCAACCCCGGGACUGCAUUGGAAACUGGCAUGCUGGAGUGCCGGAGGGGCAAGCGGAAUUCCUAGUGUAGCGGUGAAAUGCGUAGAUAUCAGGAGGAACACCAGUGGCGAAGGCGGCUUACUGGACUGUGACUGACGUUGAGGCCCGAAGGCGUGGGGAGCAAACAGG